GAUGAACGCUGGCGGCGUGCUUAACACAUGCAAGUCGAACGAUGAAGCCCAGCUUGCUGGGUGGAUUAGUGGCGAACGGGUGAGUAACACGUGAGUAACCUGCCCUUGACUCUGGGAUAAGCCUGGGAAACUGGGUCUAAUACUGGAUAUGACUUCUCAUCGCAUGGUGGGGGGUGGAAAGAUUUAUUGGUCUUGGAUGGACUCGCGGCCUAUCAGCUUGUUGGUGAGGUAAUGGCUCACCAAGGCGACGACGGGUAGCCGGCCUGAGAGGGUGACCGGCCACACUGGGACUGAGACACGGCCCAGACUCCUAUGGGAGGCAGCAGUGGGGAAUAUUGCACAAUGGGCGCAAGCCUGAUGCAGCGACGCCGCGUGAGGGAUGACGGCCUUCGGGUUGUAAACCUCUUUCAGUAGGGAAGAAGCGAGAGUGACGGUACCUGCAGAAGAAGCGCCGGCUAACUACGUG
rnacentral:rRNA from 1 species